rnacentral:rRNA from 1 species
AAUAGAUACCCCUGGUAGUCCAUGCCGUAAACGUUGGGCACUAGGUGUGGGGCUCAUUCCACGAGUUCCGUGCCGCAGCAAACGCAUUAAGUGCCCCGCCUGGGGAGUACGGCCGCAAGGCUAAAACUCAAAGGAAUUGACGGGGGCCCGCACAAGCGGCGGAGCAUGCGGAUUAAUUCGAUGCAACGCGAAGAACCUUACCAAGGCUUGACAUGCACGGGAAGCCACCAGAGAUGGUGGUCUCUUUGGACACUCGUGCACAGGUGGUGCAUGGUUGUCGUCAGCUCGUGUCGUGAGAUGUUGGGUUAAGUCCCGCAACGAGCGCAACCCUCGUCCCAUGUUGCCAGCGGGUUAUGCCGGGGACUCAUGGGAGACUGCCGGGGUCAACUCGGAGGAAGGUGGGGAUGACGUCAAAUCAUCAUGCCCCUUAUGUCUUGGGCUUCACGCAUGCUACAAUGGCCGGUACAAAGGGCUGCGAUACCGUAAGGUGGAGCGAAUCCCAAAAAGCCGGUCUCAGUUCGGAUUGGGGUCG